rnacentral:rRNA from 1 species
CGUACGCACUGGCCCAACUGAUUGAUGGUGCUUGCACCUGAUUGACGAUGGAUCACCAGUGAGUGGCGGACGGGUGAGUAACACGUAGGUAACCUGCCCCGGAGCGGGGGAUAACAUUUGGAAACAGAUGCUAAUACCGCAUAACAACAAAAGCCACAUGGCUUUUGUUUGAAAGAUGGCUUUGGCUAUCACUCUGGGAUGGACCUGCGGUGCAUUAGCUAGUUGGUAAGGUAACGGCUUACCAAGGCGAUGAUGCAUAGCCGAGUUGAGAGACUGAUCGGCCACAAUGGAACUGAGACACGGUCCAUACUCCUACGGGAGGCAGCAGUAGGGAAUCUUCCACAAUGGGCGCAAGCCUGAUGGAGCAACACCGCGUGAGUGAAGAAGGGUUUCGGCUCGUAAAGCUCUGUUGUUGGAGAAGAACGUGCGUGAGAGUAACUGUUCACGCAGUGACGGUAUCCAACCAGAAAGUCACGGCUAACUACGUGCCAGCAGCCGCGGUAAUACGUAGGUGGCAAGCGUUAUCCGGAUUUAUUGGGCGUAAAGCGAGCGCAGGCGGUUGCUUAGGUCUGAUGUGAAAGCCUUCGGCUUAACCGAAGAAGUGCAUCGGAAACCGGGCGACUUGAGUGCAGAAGAGGACAGUGGAAC